rnacentral:rRNA from 1 species
AAUGGGAGGAAUCCUGAUGCAGCGACGCCGCGUGCGGGAUGAAGGGGCUUAGCCUCGUAAACCGCUGUCGGAGGGGACGAAUGGUACAUUUGAUGUACUGAGACGGUACCCUCAAAGGAAGGAUCGGCUAACUACGUGCCAGCAGCCGCGGUAAUACGUAGGAUCCGAGCGUUGUCCGGAAUUACUGGGUGUAAAGGGUGCGUAGGCGGACUUGUGCGUCAGAGGUGAAAUCCACGGGCUUAACCCGUGGGGUGCCUUUGAUACGGCAAGUCUUGAGUGCGAGAGAGGUGGGUGGAAUUCCUGGUGUAGCAGUGAAAUGCGUAGAUAUCAGGAGGAACACCGAUGGCGAAGGCAGCCCACCGGCUCGCAACUGACGCUGAGGCACGAAAGCGUGGGGAUCAAACAGGAUUAGAUACCCUGGUAGUCCACGCCUUAAACGAUGUAUGCUUGGUGUUGGGUCGCAAGACUCAGUGCCGGAGGAAACCUAUUAAGCAUACCACCUGGGGAC